GCUAGUGUAGCUUAAACAAAGCAUAACCUUGAAGAUGUUAAGACGAGCCCUAGGAAAGCUCCACAAGCA
ensembl:Mt_tRNA tRNA-Phe